UACGUAGGGUGCAAGCGUUGUCCGGAAUUAUUGGGCGUAAAGAGCUCGUAGGCGGUCUGUCGCGUCGAAUGUGAAAACCCGGGGCUCAACCCCGGGCCUGCAUUCGAUACGGGCAGACUAGAGUUCGGUAGGGGAGUCUGGAAUUCCUGGUGUAGCGGUGAAAUGCGCAGAUAUCAGGAGGAACACCGGUGGCGAAGGCGGGACUCUGGGCCGAUACUGACGCUGAGGAGCGAAAGCGUGGGGAGCGAAGAGG
rnacentral:rRNA from 1 species